GACGAACGCUGGCGGCGUGCUUAACACAUGCAAGUCGAACGGUGAAGCGCCUUCCUUUUUGGUGGGUGUGGAUGAGUGGCGAACGGGUGAGUAACACGUGAGUAACCUGCCCCCUUCUUCUGGAUAACCGCAUGAAAGUGUGGCUAAUACGGGAUAUUCUGGGUCUGUCGCAUGAUGGGUCUGGGAAAGAUAUUGUUUCGGUGGGGGAUGGGCUCGCGGCCUAUCAGCUUGUUGGGGGGGUGAUGGCCUACCAAGGCGGUGACGGGUAGCCGGCCUGGGAGGGUGAACGGUCACACUGGGACUGAGACACGGCCCAGACUCCUACGGGAGGCAGCAGGGGGGAAUAUUGAACAAUGGGCGGAAGCCUGAUGCAGCGACGCCGCGUGAGGGAUGGAGGCCUUCGGGUUGUGAACCUCUUUCGCCAGUGAAGCAGGCCUGCCUCGUUUGUGGGUGGGUUGACGGUAGCUGGAGAAGAAGCGCCGGCUAACUACGUG
rnacentral:rRNA from 1 species